rnacentral:tRNA from 1 species
UCCCUGGGGCUCAGAUAGUAAAGAAUCUGCCUGCAAAGCAGGAGACCCAGGUUCAAUCCCUGGGUAGGGAA